UACGAAGGGGGGCUAGCGUUGUUCGGAAUUACUGGGCGUAAAGCGCACGUAGGCGGAUAUUUAAGUCAGGGGUGAAAUCCCGGGGCUCAACCCCGGAACUGCCUUUGAUACUGGGUAUCUCGAGUCCGAGAGAGGUGAGUGGAAUUCCGAGUGUAGAGGUGAAAUUCGUAGAUAUUCGGAGGAACACCAGUGGCGAAGGCGGCUCACUGGCUCGGUACUGACGCUGAGGUGCGAAAAGCGUGGGGAGCAAACAGG
rnacentral:rRNA from 1 species